GACCGAGGGCGCAAACGUUGUUCGGAAUCACUGGGCGUAAAGCGCGUGUAGGCGGCCAGGCAAGUCGGAUGGGAAAGCCCAGGGCUCAACCCUGGAAGUGCGCCCGAAACUGCAUGGCUAGAGUCCUGGAGAGGAAGGCGGAAUGCUUGGUGUAGAGGUGAAAUUCGUAGAUAUCAAGCGGAACACCGGUGGCGAAGGCGGCCUUCUGGACAGUGACUGACGCUGAGACGCGAAAGCGUGGGGAGCAAACAGG
rnacentral:rRNA from 1 species